UGGGGAGCGUCACCUCGGAGGUCUACAGCCGCACCCUGGCCAAGUUCCACGGCUGGGUAGUGGCCAAGACUGUUGGUGCAGUGCUCCUGAUGAUGCCCACGAAAAACACCAUCAUAGAGAGGGUAUCUCUGGCAAGUAAACAGGUCACAGGUGGCAUCGAAGCUGUGAGAGCU
rnacentral:lncRNA from 1 species